UGAGGUGCGAAAGCGUGGGAGCAAACGGGAUAGAUACCCCGGUAGUCACGCCGUAAACGAUGUCUACUAGCCGUUGGAGGACUUGAUCCUUUAGUGGCGCAGCUAACGCGAUAAGUAGACCGCCUGGGGAGUACGGUCGCAAGAUUAAAACUCAAAUGAAUUGACGGGGGCCCGCACAAGCGGUGGAGCAUGUGGUUUAAUUCGAAGCAACGCGAAGAACCUUACCUACUCUUGACAUCCAGUGAACUUUUGAGAGAUCAAUUGGUGCCUUCGGGAACACUGAGACAGGUGCCGCAUGGCUGUCGUCAGCUCGUGUUGUGAAAUGUUGGGUUAAGUCCCGUAACAAGCGCAACCCUUGUCCUUAGUUACCAUCAUUAAGUUGGGGACUCUAAGGAGACUGCCGGUGACAAACCGGAGGAAGGCGGGGACGACGUCAAGUCAUCAUGGCCCUUACGAGUAGGGCUACACACGUGCUACAAUGGCAUGUACAAAGGGUUGCCAAGCCGCGAGGUGGAGCUAAUCCCAUAAAGCAUGUCGUAGUCCGGAUUGGAGUCUGCAACUCGACUCCAUGAAGUCGGAAUCGCUAGUAAUCGUGAAUCAGAAUGUCACGGUGAAUACGUUCCCGGGCCUUGUACACACCGCCCGUCACACCAUGGGAGUGGGUUGCUCCAGAAGUAGAUAGCUUAACCUUCGGGAGGGCGUUUACCACGGAGUGAUUCAUGACUGGGGUGAAGUCGUAACAAGGUAACCGUA
rnacentral:rRNA from 1 species